GAUGAACGCUGGCGGCGUGCCUAACACAUGCAAGUCGAGCGAGCGAAAUAAAAUGGAGACUUCGGUCAAAGUAUUGUGGAGCUAGCGGCGGACGGGUGAGUAACGCGUGAGUAACCUGCCCUAUACAUGGGGAAAGCCAUGGGAAACGAUGCUUAAUACCCAACAAAGCUUAAUCUAAGAAUGUAGCAAAAGCCAAAGUUCUCAGUGGUAUAGGAUGGACUCGCGUCUGAUUAGCUAGUUGGUAAGGUAAAGGCUUACCAAGGCGAUGAACAGUAGCCGACCUGAGAGGGUGAUCGGCCACAUUGGGACUGAGACACGGCCCAAACUCCUACGGGAGGCAGCAGUGGGGGAUAUUGCACAAUGGGGGAAACCCUGAUGCAGCAACGCCGCGUGAGUGAUGAAUGCCUUCGGGUAGUAAAACUCUGUCCUAGGGGAAGAAAACAAUGACGGUACCCUUGGAGGAAGCCCCGGCUAACUACGUGCCAGCCGCCGCAGUAA
rnacentral:rRNA from 1 species